rnacentral:tRNA from 1 species
UCGAAAGCGGUGGACGGUACGGACUUAAAAUCCGUUGGCUUUUUAGACCGUGAGGGUUCAAGUCCCUCUACCCCCA